rnacentral:rRNA from 1 species
CGACCGGCGCACGGGUGAGUAACACGUAUCCAACCUGCCGAUGACUCGGGGAUAGCCUUUCGAAAGAAAGAUUAAUACCCGAUGGCAUAGUUCUUCCGCAUGGUAGAACUAUUAAAGAAUUUCGGUCAUCGAUGGGGAUGCGUUCCAUUAGCUUGUUGGCGGGGUAACGGCCCACCAAGGCAUCGAUGGAUAGGGGUUCUGAGAGGAAGGUCCCCCACAUUGGAACUGAGACACGGACCAGACUCCUACGGGAGGCAGCAG